AUUACCACUGUUUAAAUAAUAACUGUUACUGCAUUGGUAAUAAGGACACCUGUUCAUGCUCUAGUAGCACCUUGUCUUCCUGUUUCUGUAAGACUUAUGGCAAUAUCAUUGCUCUCACUACAGCAGUUAGUCCAGUCUAUGACUGUGUGCUUUAUAACGACACGUACAUCUGCACUGGUGCUCAGUACCACAUGUAUUGCAACACUAGUAUGCAUGAUUUCCAUUACAGUAGAAACCAUUACCACUGUUUAAAUAAUAACUGUUACUGCAUUGGUAAUAAGGACACCUGUUCAUGCUCUCGUAACACUUCAUUCUCCUGCUUCUGCACAAAUCACAGCAGUAGCAUCACUAUUCCUGCAGCAGUUAGUCCGGUCUAUGACUGUGUGCUUUAUAACGACACAUACAUCUGCACUGGUGCUCAGUAUCGCAUGUUCUGCAACACAAGAAUGCAUUAUUUCAACUAUUGGAGAUACAGAAACCAAAACCAAUAUUAUUAUGAAUGCUGGGGUAAUAACGGUUACUGCUUUGGUAAUAAGGACACCUGUACAUGCUACGGCAGCACUUUAUCCUCCUGCUUCUGUGAGUCUAACAUCUCCAUCCCAACCACAAUCAGUCCAACUAAUGCAGGUGCGAAUAUCACACUGCCGGAUCAGUACAGGAGUCAGACCUCCAGAGGAUAUAUUCAAAAUCUUCUUGAGCAGAUAGAGAACAUGACAGCUCAAGAGCUUCCUUUGUAUACUGUGAUGAGCAUUUUGACUGUGGUAUUCAACACUUCAGAGAAGAUUUUAGAGUCAUCUUCAUCAGAAAACUCAACUGAAC
ensembl:lncRNA